AAGUCAAACCGGUUCAUCGCUUGCUUUGCAAGAGGAAAGUCCGGACAGCAUAGAGUAGCAUGCUUCCUAACAGGAAGGAUUUUAAUAAAUACAGAUAGUGCCACAGAAAAUAUACAGCCAGUAAUGGUAAUGGUGAAAAGGUGAGGUAAGAGCUCACCGUAUUAAUGGUGACAUUAAUAGCAAGGUAAACCUCAUGCGCUGCAAGACCAAAUAAACCAAGGUUACUUUGUUGGAGAGUUACUCGCUCAACUUGGAGGGUAGGUUGCUUGAGUUAAUCAGUGAUGAUUAACCUAGAUAAAUGAUGGACCUCGACAGAAUCCGGCUUACAGGUUUGACUUUUUU
rnacentral:RNase_P_RNA from 1 species